rnacentral:rRNA from 1 species
CCUACGGGUGACAGCAGUGAGGAAUAUUGGUCAAUGGGCUUAAGCCUGAACCAGCCAAGUCGCGUGAGGGAAUACUGCCCUACGGGUUGUAAACCUCUUUUGCCAGGGAGCAAUUGCGGCGACGUGUCGCGUCCCGGAGAGUACCCGGAGAAAAAGCAUCGGCUAACUCCGUGCCAGCAGCCGCGGUAAUACGGAGGAUGCGAGCGGUAUCCGGAUUUAUUGGGUUUAAAGGGUGCGUAGGCGGGAUUUUAAGUCAGCGGUAAAAUUUCGGGGCUCAACCCCGUCCGGCCGUUGAAACUGGGGGCCUUGAGUGGGCGAGAAGAAGGAGGAAUGCGUGGUGUAGCGGUGAAAUGCAUAGAUAUCACGCAGAACCCCGAUUGCGAAGGCAGC